ACGGCGUUUGAGCAUUUCCCCGAACCCGAGCCUUCUCCCCUCUCUGCCCCGAUCCCCUUUGCUCACGCUGCCUCUCUCUCUCUCGCGGACGAAUCGGAGGCGACGGGAGCGGAGCUUCUCCUUUGGCGAUCAUCCUCGUUCACCGGAGCUUGCUGGAGCACGGCGGAGCCUAGAUCUUCUUCGACCGAGGGGUUCUGUCCGGUGAGUUCUGCGGCCGAGUGUCGACAGCGAGCGGCUAGGGCACGACAGGUGCUCGAUCCGUGUCUUCUCUAGCCUAUCGAUCCUUCAUUUCUUCUCCACGAGCUGCACACAGAGCAAUCGGCGUCUCCUCAGCCGGAUCGGGUUGUGCGACGUCGUCCAGAGGUGAUCGAUAAAGGGAAAGGUAUCAGAUCAAUUGUGCCGGAUUUUUCUUGAUUAGACCUUGGAUCUUCACUUCUUUGAUACGGAUUGAGCACGGGAUUAGAGGGGUUAAGCAUGGAAAACUCCUCUCACAGAGCUCUGUGGUGUUCUUGAUCAAGCAACUCACCUUUGUUUCAACAGAACCUCCUUCCAGCUGCUGAGAAUCAAGGAGUCUGAUUUGAGACAGGCGUCUCGACGUUGACUUCGGAUUUGGAUUGUACCUUCUAUUU